rnacentral:rRNA from 1 species
UUUUUUUGAGAUAUGUCAGGAAAUUAGGCUAUGAAAGUAGCCACCAACUUUUUUAUACAACGAAGAGUUUGAUCCUGGCUCAGGAUGAACGCUAGCGACAGGCCUAACACAUGCAAGUCGAGGGGUAACAGGGGUUUCGGCCCGCUGACGACCGGCGCACGGGUGAGUAACGCGUAUGCAACCUACCUGUAACAGGGGGAUAGCUCCCUGAAAGGGGAAUUAACACCGCAUAAGACUACGCUACUGCAUGGUAGCGUGGUAAAAUAUUUAUAGGUUACAGAUGGGCAUGCGUGACAUUAGCUAGUUGGCGGGGUAACGGCCCACCAAGGCAACGAUGUCUAGGGGUUCUGAGAGGAAGGUCCCCCACACUGGUACUGAGACACGGACCAGACUCCUACGGGAGGCAGCAGUGAGGAAUAUUGGUCAAUGGGCGCAAGCCUGAACCAGCCAUGUCGCGUGCAGGAAGACUGCCCUAUGGGUUGUAAACUGCUUUUUUACGGGAAGAAAACCAGCUACGUGUAGUUGUUUGCCGGUACCGUAGGAAUAAGCAUCGGCUAACUCCGUGCCAGCAGCCGCGGUAAUACGGAGGAUGCGAGCGUUAUCCGGAUUUAUUGGGUUUAAAGGGUGCGUAGGCGGAAUAGUAAGUCAGGGGUGAAAUACUGCAGCUCAACUGUAGAAUUGCCUUUGAUACUGUUAUUCUUGAGUAUAGAUGAGGUAGGCGGAAUGUGGUGUGUAGCGGUGAAAUGCAUAGAUAUACCACAGAACACCGAUUGCGAAGGCAGCUUACUAAACUAUAACUGACGCUGAUGCACGAAAGCGUGGGUAUCAAACAGGAUUAGAUACCCUGGUAGUCCACGCCGUAAACGAUGAUUACUGGUUGUUUGCGAUACAUUGCAAGUGACUGAGCGAAAGCAUUAAGUAAUCCACCUGGGGAGUACGUCGGCAACGAUGAAACUCAAAGGAAUUGACGGGGGCCCGCACAAGCGGAGGAACAUGUGGUUUAAUUCGAUGAUACGCGAGGAACCUUACCUGGGUUUAAAUGGGAAGUGACAGACUUGGAAACAGGUUUUUCUUCGGACACUUUUCAAGGUGCUGCAUGGUUGUCGUCAGCUCGUGCCGUGAGGUGUCGGGUUAAGUCCCAUAACGAGCGCAACCCCUAUUGUCAGUUACCAGCACGUAAUGGUGGGGACUCUGGCAAGACUGCCGGUGUAAACCGAGAGGAAGGUGGGGAUGACGUCAAAUCAGCACGGCCCUUACAUCCAGGGCUACACACGUGUUACAAUGGCCGGUACAAAGGGCCGCUACCUCGCGAGAGGAUGCGAAUCUUAAAAGCCGGUCUCAGUUCGGAUCGGAGUCUGCAACCCGACUCCGUGAAGCUGGAUUCGCUAGUAAUCGCGCAUCAGCCAUGGCGCGGUGAAUACGUUCCCGGGCCUUGUACACACCGCCCGUCAAGCCAUGGAAGCCGGGGGUACCUGAAGUAUGUAACCGCAAGGAGCGUCCUAGGGUAAAACUGGUGACUGGGGCUAAGUCGUAACAAGGUAGCCGUACCGGAAGGUGUGGCUGGAACACCUCCUUUCU